rnacentral:lncRNA from 1 species
UUAGUACAUACUGUCAAUGUGUCUCAUUUAAAAAUGUGUUAAUGAAAAAAAUGGAUGUCACGUUAAAAAUGUGUUUGUUUCAUUUAGUUUCUUCAUCUCCAUUGGAAGACAAUCUAAGAGGAAGAGGAAAUGUUACGUUACAGUGUUCACUGAAUAGAUAUGAUAGAACAAUUCCCUGUGGAGAGAACAGCAUCAUCUGGAUGGAUGAGAGAGGAUCCAAACUGUCUGGUCAAAACUCUGAGUUUGAGGUUAAUGAACAGAUUAACUGUGUUUCUGUUCUGACUGUGAAACAUCUGAGAGGAAACAACACAAAAUUCACCUGCCAGUUUGUGAAGAACAACAAAGUGAAGAUGGAUGCUGUGUACGUUCUUACAGGCAUCAGUGGAAAAACUGAAAAACUCUAUCACAGAGUUGGAGAGAACGUCCUUUUACCUUGUAGAGAUAAAUCCUCCUCUUCCUCAUGCUCUGAUGUUACCUGGCUGUACCAGAAAGAUACAAGUGCAGAACUUGUAAAGGAAGUACGCAAUGGAAAAGUUGUCCAGAGUUUAUUUCGAGCUUCCAGGCUGAAUGUGAGCAGUGACUGCUCUCUGCUCAUCAGAAACAUCAUUCAUGAAGAUGCUGGUUAUUUCGUCUGUCGGUUCGGCGAGGAUAAUGAGUUUGACAACAAUGUGUAUCUUAAUAUUUUGAGCAUUUCUACAGAUCCACCAGAAGUUCAUCCAAGAGGAAAUGAAGACAUCACAUUACGGUGUUCACUGAAUAGAUUUGAUAAAACAAAAUCCUGUGAACAGAACAGCAUCAUCUGGAUGGAUGAGAGAGGAUCUCAGCUGACUGGUGAAGGUGUUGGGUUUGAGUUUAGAGGACAAACAAACUGUGUUUCUGUUCUGACUGUGAAACAUCAGAGUGGAAACAAUAAAAGAUUCACCUGCAAGUUUAUUGAGGACAACAAAGUGAAGAUUGAGGCUGUCUACAUUCCAUACUUUUCAGGUAAAGGUGAUUCUUAGUUUUUGUACUGACAAAAAAAACUCAUAUUUGAUAUGAUGUCAUAUUUUCACUUCAGGUUAUUUUACAGCACAAAUAUGCUGUGGAAUACAAAGGCUGGUUUUGACUUGCCUUCCAUCACAAACGCAGUUUUAUCCAACCUGAUUCUGACAAAAAACCGUCUUUAGAAAGUCGUUGAUAGACAUCAUCUGGAAUGAAUCUACUGUUGAUUUGUUAGGAACAAUCUGAGUGUAGUUUUCAUGACGUUUUGUACAAUUCUCAAGGGAAAGUAUCUGCGUUCCUCUUAAGAUGCUGCCGCUCUUCUGUACGACCAUCCACGGACCCAGACAACCUUAAAACCUGCAGCAUUCGUCAACACCCUGUUAGGGGAAGUGACUAAGACUUUAGCCAGUCUAUUCAAUCUCCAUGCCCAACACAAACUCUCUUUAUCUUUAGAGACCUUUUUCUUUUGGUGUAAGAAGUCACUCUUCUCCAUGCACAAAAACAUAUCUGUACUUGCUUUUCCUCUACAUAUGACAAUAGUGCUUCCUCUAAUGUUUUUGUUUGUCAGGUCCGUUCAGAGAUAAUUGUUUUGUUUAUGUUUUAAAACAGAUUAUAUGUAAUUCACAUUCAUUCAGCUUUAUUUUUUAGUCCUUGAGGUUACUGUCUUUCUAUCCGUGACUUCUUCUUUUAACAUUAGCUACAACCAGCUCAUAUUUAUUGCACUCAAUGUAUACUAUUAAUAAAAGCUUAAAUAUCCUUAUUUGUUGUAGAAUCUCCCCAGAGCGACACUGUCAUCAUCAUUGGAGCUGUGGUCGGUGUGGUGUUGGUGCUGCUGGUCGUUUUUGCGGUUCUACUCUUCAAAAGCAAGAGAACCAAAACCACCGAAGAUCAAAAAAGAGGAACAAGUUCAGUUUUAUCUCUUUUGCUGGCAAUUAAUGUGUUGAGGUUCUGACGUAAAAAGCAGAAAACUAAAAAUAGUUGACUUAUGAAGAAAUCUUGGCAGCAUUUAACCACAGGAUAUGAAGUUCCUCUUUCUUGUGAAACCAGUCAUGGCCCUCCUGGUUUCUUGGUUUGUCAUCAACUCCUCUCAGUGUGAUUUUUCUUUAUAUUUUGCGCAUUAAAUUAAGUAAAUUGUGUUAAUUUCAUAAAGUUACAAUUCAAAACCACUUUUCUUUGCACUGAUAACAUAGUUUCACAUAAUAGAAAAUCCUUUCUAAAGUCAGAUGGUUCUAAAAAUCUACUUUUUUCCAUUUCAGACUUUCAAAAAUCAAUACAUCAACAUGUGAGUAUCAUUAGAACAAAGGUUUUUUUAGUAUAGAAAAUUAAUGUAUUUCUAUAAUAAUGUUAUGGCUCUCAAAGUGCACUUUAAAUAUUGUCAAGUUACUUUUAUUCCAGACUGUUAAAAUGCGUCAUUGGAUGAGUCAACUUUAUUUUUAAAAUGACAUUUGCAGCAUCUCUCUCUCAUGACAGCAGAGUCACAUGUAAUUUAUUUGAAAUUAUUAGGAAAAUCAAGACAUCUGCAUGCAUUUUACUAAUCACACAUUCUUCAAGCUACAGUUGAAUUGAUAUAAUGUUUAAAGACAUGUUUCCCCUCUGUGUUUGUGUUCAGAGUGAGCCAGAGACUGAGCUGGACGGUGAUCUGACGUAUGCUGUGGUUAACCAUUCCAAAUCAAAGGCUUCUUCCAAGAUCACAGUAUGUCACUUCAUCUGGUGUGAUCCUGAUAUUAAUAGAAAUGCUGGAUGGGUUCACAUGAACCUAAACACAGAGAAGCAUGAAUAUUUAAAAAGCA